CUCACUAACACAGGAGCUGCUGACAAUGUGUGAGAGGGGUGCUGGAAAAUGGACACUGCAGGACUGAGAAAGCUUGGUUCAAGGAAAGGACGGAGCCAGUGAGCUGCGGGCUGUAUUUGAAUACAUGUUUUUCACCUAUUGUGGCCUUGACAACUUUCAAAAUAAAAGAUAAAAAAGGAAGAAUUGAUUAUUGGUCAUUGAGUGAAGUCCAGUUCAAAGUAUUCUGAAGCAAGCUGUUUUUUCAAGUGGGGGAAACCUGCAGUUUAAACCAAAACACGGGGAACCACUUGACAGACGCAAAGUGCAUCCUGGUGUCAUUUGUCUCCCUGGUGAGCGAAUCACAUGUACCAGAUCGUCAGACCAACCAGAAAGGACUUUCAUUCAGAGCAGGAGAACAACACAACUGCAAGGGUCACAUUUGAAAUUAGAUUCAUCCUUCUGAUCUCUACAAAGGGAUACGAGAAAUAGAACUUUUGGAGAGAGUAAAAAGUGCAAACUGAUUGCUGAGAUGAAUGUCCCAUGAAUUGGGGCGACAGGCUGUAGAGUAGAAAGGAAGAAAACUGCAACUGAUUGAUAGUCGGAGAGCAGAGCCGCUGUAAAAGAAAGAUGAAGUACGGAGCCAUGGAGUUGGAGAUGACUUGGAUUUGGAGACUGUGAGAAAAAACAUUGACUGGUGCAGUCAGAAAUUUGCAAGCAUUCAUCAGGGCCAUCAAUGUGAUAAUUUUAACCUUUUGUUCAAUCAUUAAAGCUGCUCUUUUUACAGUGUUGAAUGUUGUACCGCAUACAAUUUCGAGGAUUUUUAAAAACAAGAAUUGAAUGUAGAACUUUAAAUGUAUUGUGAUCAGAACAUACAAGCUCAAAUGCAUAAAUACAUUAUUCUAUUAGAUUUUCUUUACUUACAUGGCCUAGAUCUUGUUUGUGAUCAUGAACUGUUUAUUGCUAAAAUAAAUAGAA